rnacentral:rRNA from 1 species
UACAGAGGGUGCGAGCGUUGUCCGGAAUCACUGGGCGUAAAGGGCGCGUAGGCGGCUCAGUAAGCGUGCGGUGUAAGCCCGGGGCUCAACCCCGGGUCGGCCGUGCGAACUGCAGAGCUGGAGCACUGUAGAGGCAGGUGGAAUUCCGGGUGUAGCGGUGGAAUGCGUAGAGAUCCGGAAGAACACCGGUGGCGAAGGCGGCCUGCUGGGCAGUGGCUGACGCUGAGGCGCGACAGCGUGGGGAGCAAACAGG